GGGAGUAGUGUGGGAGGAGGUUGAGGCUUUCUCUAGCUUGAGUGGUUUUGAGCAUGUUACCCUGUGCUGGAUGAAAAUAGUCCUACCAGCAAUUGUACAUCUUUGGGAAUGCUGCCUUAACUCUGUGUCCCAUCCUGAAGAGCCAGACAUCAAUGAAGCCAUGGGGGUCUCAAGGACCAAGAAGACAAAGGACAGCAGCAGUCGAAAACAAAAGAGCAAGUUGGAGAAGGGGCAGGGGAUGCCGAAGACAAGUCAGGUGAAGGAGCAACCAGAAGAAAUACCAUGCAUGGGGCAGGCUGCUGUACUGAAAGGGAAGAAGAAAGUCAAGGAGAAGCCACUGCAGGAGAACACCAUCAGUAGAAGCUCUCUAAGGCGUGAGGUUGCAGAAGAAAAAGAUCUCGACUCAAUGCGGCAGGAUGGGAUUCAAGUGAAGGAGGCAGCUUCAUCCUUGUUGGAGGAAACUGAUUCCACCCUCCACCAAGGGUCAUCAGUGGGACUGAAGGACUCCUCCAGGUCAAAGAGUAAAUCCUGGAGAGAGGGACCUGCAGUGGGACAGCAGCUCUCAGAGGCAGAGGAUGAAGUUGGGCUCCUCAAGCCAAGUAGAGGUGAUAAUGGUGUAGCUGAAUUCCUCUCUGGAGAGCCUGGGGCUUCAAGGUUGGCUGUGGAGGUCACUGCUUCGAUGGAGAGUGUGGAGAAGGAACUAGACCCUCAUGUUCCAAUGCAGAAAGGGGAUGCCAGAGGCAUGAAAAGAAAAAAACAAACAGAGAAGAAGCAAGAGCCAAAGAAGCAGAGGGAGAAUUUGCUGAGAAAAGGAGAGACCAAAAAGGAUAAGUUAGAGGAAAGCCUUGGGAAUGUGAUGGAGGACAUCAGGGAAGAAGAUGGUGCUGAUGGGGACAGGAAUUGUGGAGUCAGACAGGAUAAAGCCAAGCAAGGGAGCAGCAGCACAUGGGGAAGGGCUGAUGAGAGGGAAAAGCAGAAAGGGAGAGGGGAGAAGCGCAAGAAGGUAAAAGUGGAGGAGGAGGAGCAGGGGAGGAAGAAAAUAAAGAAGGAGAAAAAGGUGGAAGAGAAGCAAGAGCUGGAAAGCUUGGGUGAGGAAUUAGGAGUGAGAGACGAAGAAAAGGAAAGUGAAGAUGGAAAAGGAAUAAAGGAGGAGGAGGUGGAUAAACAGGGAGAAAAGGGAUGGGGGCAGAGUCAGAGCAUGGAGACUGAGGAUAAGGAGGUGGGGAAUGGAGAUGUGCUGGAGAAAAAGCAGAAAGAUAAGGAGAAAAAGCCAAAAGAGAAAAAGAAAGACAAAGAGAAGGGGAAGAAAGGCAAAGAGGAAGAGACCCCAAAGAAAACCCAGAAAAGAAAAUCUAAGGAUGAAGGAGAGGAGAAUAACAACAAAAGGGUUAAAAAGGAGGGAAAAGAAAAAGAAAAGAAAGAAGAAACAGAAAACAAGUGGAAAUGGUGGGAAGAAGAGAAGACAAACGAUGGGGUGAAGUGGAAACAGCUGGAACACAAAGGACCCUACUUUGUCCCUCUCUACGAGCCUCUGCCUGAUGAUGUGCAAUUUUAUUAUGAUGGUAAACCCCUGAAGCUGAGCCUGGCCACGGAGGAAAUUGCCACUUUCUAUGCAAAAAUGCUUGAUCAUGAGUACACAACUAAAGAGAUCUUCCAGAACAACUUUUUUAAUGAUUGGAGGAAGGAGAUGACACCUCAGGAACAAGAGAUAAUCAAGCAGUUGGACAAGUGUGACUUCAGGGAGAUUCAUAAGUACUUUGUGGACAAAAAUGAGGCACGGAAAGCACUCUCCAAAGAGGAGAAGCAGAAACUGAAGGAGGAGGCAGAUAAGAUCCAGGAGGAGUAUGGAUACUGCAUCCUUGAUGGGCACAGGGAGAAGAUAGGCAACUUCAAAACUGAGCCUCCAGGGCUGUUCCGUGGACGUGGUGAUCACCCCAAAAUGGGCAUGCUGAAGAAGAGGAUUAUGCCAGAAGAUGUGAUCAUCAACUGUAGCAAGGACUCCAAGAUCCCUGAGCCACCAGUGGGGCAUAAAUGGAAGGAAGUACGCUUUGACAACACAGUCACCUGGCUGGCCUCGUGGACUGAAAACAUCCAGAACUCCUUAAAGUACAUCAUGCUGAACCCGAGCUCCAAGCUGAAGGGGGAAAAGGACUGGCAGAAGUUUGAGGUAGCCCGGAGACUAAAGGAUGUUGUCCACAAAAUCCGUGCUCAGUACCAGGCUGACUGGAAGUCCAAGGAGAUGAGGAAGCGACAAAGAGCAGUGGCUCUCUACUUCAUUGAUAAGCUGGCCCUGAGAGCUGGUAAUGAGAAAGAAGAAGGGGAGACUGCAGACACAGUUGGCUGCUGUUCCCUACGUGUGGAGCACAUCAAGCUGCACUCUAAGCUGGAUGGGCAGGAGCAUGUGGUGGAGUUUGACUUCCUUGGGAAAGACUCCAUCCGCUAUUACAACAAAGUAUCAGUGGAAAAGCCAGUGUUCAAGAACCUGCAGCUGUUCGUGAAGAACAAAGACCCGGGUGAUGACCUCUUUGAUAGGCUCUCUACAACCGUCUUGAACAAACACCUUCAGAAGCUGAUGAAUGGUUUGACUGCCAAAGUGUUCAGGACCUACAAUGCUUCCAUCACCUUGCAGGAGCAGCUCAAGGCCCUCACUAACCCUGAAGACAGUGUUGCUGAAAAGCUUCUCUCCUACAACCGAGCAAACCGAGCUGUGGCCAUCCUGUGCAACCAUCAGAGAUCCACGCCGAAAACCUUUGAGAAGUCAAUGCAAAAUCUGCAAACCAAGAUUGAUGCCAAGAAGGAACAGCUGGAAAAAGCCCAACAAGAGCUGGAAGAAGCUGAAGAUGAGUUAAAAGACAAAAAAGAUGCCAAAGCAGAGGCCAAUGUGCAAAAGAAAAAGAAGCUGUUGGAACGUCUGAAGGAGCAGCUGGCCAAGCUGAAUGUCCAGGCCACGGACAAGGAGGAGAACAAACAGAUAGCUCUGGGCACGUCCAAGCUGAAUUACCUGGAUCCCAGGAUUAGCAUAGCCUGCCAACUUGCUGAUGUGCUAUGUCUACACCAACCAGGCCAGCAAAGAUCAGUGCCUGGAGCCUUCCAGAUGUGUCAGAAAUGAGACAGUCUGCAUGAAUCCUAUUUUGAAGAUCAGUGUUGGAUGAUAUCAUGGGUUUUGGUGUCCCUCUGAACUUCCUCUGGCCAUGCCUUCACUGUGGUGAGCAAUGAGUAGUCGUAUCAGGUGCCUUAAAUGUGCAAGAUGCUCAUGACUUCUGCUUCAAGGCUGCUCACACAUCUGGCUGAUCUGUUCAGGACCUAAAGUUCACCCAGGUAUUUUUGCCUUCCCUUUCUCCAUCUAAACUCUUCUACAUGUUCUCUGAGUCUCUGCCAAUUCUUAUUCUGCAUCUCCAUCUCCUAAAUCCCAGGUUGUAUCCAGGUCCCUGUUCCUUCUUCAAUCCCAUUUUCUUUCCUCAGCCAAGUCUUGCAAGGUGGAGGAGUUGAGCAGAGCAAGCAGCUGUAAUCUGGUGGAGAAUCUGUUCCUGCUUUGUCCUCUCUGCUCUUUGGUGGCUGGGUCUAUGAUGAUUCAUGGAGAAGUCUGCAGAUUUCGUGCACCAGUUUUCCUGGUAGCUCUUUCCUUAGGAGCAGAAGUGUGACAAGCAGUCAAACAGAGGCUCCAGAUGGUCUUAAAUUAUCAGCUUCAGCUCCACCCAAAUAGAUAAACAUACAGAGAAGUCAUACGGGUGGGGAACCUUACAUUUGAAUGCUAUCUAGCAGCACUUUGCACUGGAUGCUCUGUGUAGAAGGGGCACAAAGGUGUUUUUACACUUUUCUCAGGUGUAGCAAAGCUGGAAACCAACUUCCAAUAUGCUAGCUCCUGUGUUUGAACACCAAAGCCAUUGUUCUCUUGCUGCAGCUCCUUUCACAAGUAGGAUGCAAAGCAUUUAGCACUUUAUAGGUAACCAGCAGCUUUUAUAGGCUACAGGAAAUCAUAAAACGUUUCCUGUUUAUAUUGUCAACCAUGAAUACAAAGCUCGAUCUACCCUGACUGUAGACAUAAGGGAGUUCUCCAGGUCUAAUCCUGGAAAGGCACUUGGCAGUCAUCCACACAAUGAAGGCAUUAAUUUAUGCUACUUAUUGCCAUUUUGCUUUGAGUAGAUGCCUUUGCUGAACUAUCUGGCCAUAGAUGUGGUGCAGUAGUGCUACACUGAUAGUACUACUAGCCUGACCAUAGAGACAUUAAAGCAUUUAAAAGCAAUAAAUAGGAUGAAUUGCCCUGGUGGUGCUUUCACUCAUCUUCAGACCCAUCAGACCAGCCCGAAGGCAAUGCCGAGGUGAGAAAACAACCAACGUGCAUUCCUAUCCUGUCAAAUAAUACAUGAUCCCUGCCCAUCUUUUAAAAUUGUUGUCUUCAUCAUCACUCAGUCCAAACGCAGGCAAGAUAUAUAUCCUGUCCCCAGAUGAGGGUGCUUUUCUUGAGCUGUGAAGACGACUGAGAAGAUGAAAGCUUCCCUCCUUGUCCUUCUGGCUUUGGUCCUAUGUGCACAUGAAGCAAAAGCCCUAUAUUGCUACACCUGUGAGUGGGAACAAAGCAACUGGAGCUGUCUGAAGGCUAAGAAGUGCUCAGACAAGGAUGAGUACUGUGUGACAAACGUUGCCGCUGUAGGAAUAGGUUCUUUGUCUUUCUGGAAGAGGAUCACUAAGAAGUGCUCCAAGACCUGUCCAUACCACAACUUCAGCCUGGGCCUGGCUACCUACACCUCGUUCUGCUGCCAGACCUUCUUGUGCAACCUACAUGCCUGCCCAGGACCCAGGCUUGCUCGACCAUAAGAUGUAGGGGCUCCUGAAUCAGUGCCCUUCACUUGCUCAGAGAAAAGGGCUCCUGAAGGCCUGAAGAACAUGGUCAGAUUUCCCCAGAAGGGUAUGUCGGGGGGAAGUCUUUCAGUGAGAGUGUGAUGUAGUCUUGGAACAGGUUGCCCAGAGAGGUUGUGGUGCCCUGACUAUGGAUGUGAUUGAGACCAGGUUGGACGGGGACCUGGGCAACUUAUCUAAUGGUUGACAACCUUGCCUGCGGCAGCGGGAUUAGAACUUGAUGAUCCUUGAGGUCUCUUCCAACCCAAGCCAUUCUACAGUUCUGACUCUAUGAUUCCAUGAUUAUGUGAUUCUAUGACUCUAUGAUUCUACGAUCUAUGGUAUGGACACCAUGCAUGCAUGCUAAGUAGAUAAAAUAUUAUGGUUGCCACCUCCUGCCCUGUGUUGCCUCUUCAUCUGGAGCUUCUUACUUGCUUCUUAUGCCUGAGUUCUGUCACCCCAGUACUUUGAUGGAGAAGUGGCCAUGCUAUGUCCUCUGCAGCUUGGAGGAGGGAGAUGCUGCUUCUGCACGGCCUGUGCCUCUCUGGAGGGAUUUCUCCUGCAGUCUUGCCUUGUCUUGGGUGCAGGUGGGAGCCAUACAGCAAAGAGCAGCUUUCCAGCCUUGGGAUAGAGGGUAGACCAGAAAUAAGUACUUCUUGGUGCCAAUUCAAAGUAAACUGUACAAACUCACAUCAUGUCUGAGGGGGAAGGGAAACAGUAUAAAAACCUAAGCUUGUAAUGGAUCUCAACCACAGAUUUUCUUCCUUGCCUUCUGCUGUACAGCCUCUUGCUCCUGGUCUUCAGCUAGUGCCAGUGACAUUCCUGUGCUACCAUGCCAUUAGCAGUUGACAUUCUUGUUGCUUUUGGCUCUGUCCAUGAUGCCACACUUUUAUAAAAAACAAACUGCUUAUCUGCAGUCUUUGUCCCCACCUCCAUUUCCAGGGGCUCUCAUUGGCCACCCCCUUCAUGUCGCCUUGCUUGCUUGCAGCUGCUGUUUGAGCCAAGUGAACCAGUUCCCCUGGAUCUAGCUCUUGGCAAUGCAUCAUCCUGAUGACAAUGAAUCAUUCAUUUACCCAUCCCUCGGACAUCCCUCAGAGCAACUGCAGGGUAAUGAAAAGUACUUGCAGCCUUUGGGUCAAUCUGGGGAGGAACAUCUGGAGAGGUUUAUGAGAGAAGAAUACAGAUUUUUGAGUAUUGCAUGUAGAUGUUUCCAGACGCUGCAGAGAAUGGAGGGUAAAAGGAAGCUGAAAAAAUGAAUGAUGAUAAUGAGAGCUCAGGGACUCUCCAUUGCCAGAGGUGUUGCUGAGUGCCUUUCCCUCUUCCCCAGAAGCACUUUUUGAAGGAGAAUGGAAAUGCACAAACUUGGAUAAGCUGGGAGGGUGGAGGAGCUCUUCUCAGGUCUGGGGCCAUGAUUUGGAUGCUGAACUUUUACACCACACUCCCAUGAGCAAAACAGAGCACAUCUGCAGCCCAGGACUCGCUUCACAAUCAACUCUCUCUGAGCUUUCAAAUCUGCAAAGUGCUGCUCAGCCAAAGGAUGACGCUCCGUGCUGUGUGGUGCUUCCAACCCAACGCUGGUAAACAAGGGGACAAAAGGGGCUUUGAUCCCUGCAGAGUGCAUCUCCCUGGGGCCGGUGCCACGGCUUCUCCGGAUGAAUGCCUCCUUCUGAAAUGCUGCAUAACGGCAGCCUUCAGAGAUGCAUGCUCUCUUUUAUUAAUCGGCUUCAGCUUUUCCUUUACCCCUACACCAAGCUGCAAGGGAAGCUCUCUGAGCUGAAGAAGCUGUGCUGACCAAUGCACCUCUCUUUACCUCUUAGACCACAAUCGUUUUCAUGCCCUAAUUAGGAAUCUGCUUCUUCUUUUCGCCUUGAAGCAAUCACAGCACCCCCCUGUCUCUAAGCCUGAGUGCUCAAAAGCUCUAAUUUACUCCAGACACAAUUUUUUAAUGUAAAAGAAACCCGACUUUGUGUGUGUGCAUAUUUUUGGUUGUUGUUUUUUGUUUUUUUUCUUUUCAGUGCACCAGAAUUAUUCAGCUCUCUGAAAGGAAUCCCAGUUGGACAGACUCUAAUAAUUAAUAUUUCAUUGCAUUGGAUUUACACAUCCUGCAGCAGCAGAGACAGUCCCCUGCAGCCUGCAGGAAAAGACAGGAUUGUUUUCUUCCCUUUUUUUUUUUUUUUUUUUUUUUUUUUUUUUUGCCAUUUUCAAGCAGAACUGUCUUAUUUUGCUUGGUUUGCUGGCUUGGUUUGCUCUAUCCUUGCUGCAGAAAAGCCUUCUUGUACCCCAUGGUAAAUAUAAAGAAACAUAAAUGUAAAGAGCAAAAGGUACUGCAGCUCUAAAGGCAUUAAAAUGUGACCUCCUCCCAUGGCACAAAACCAUCCUGGAGGAGCAAAACCUCUUAUCUGAGAUGUGUGGGUAGAAAAAAAACUUAGGUGCCAUGUCUAACCACUGAUUCUUCCCAGCAGUCAGAGUUGAUGGGGACCACAGAGAGGUAGCAAUCAUUAGCACAAGGAUGAGGCUGUACAGAGAAUUACCCCAUGGAUCCCAAGAACUUGAAUCAGACUUUUGGAAUGGGUACUGCACCAGUCCCUGCUUGUCCUAGCACAUGGCAUAAAGUGGAAGAGCACUUUGAGUUUGUCUUCCAAAGUGAUGGUAGACACUGGAGAGAAGCACAUGGAGGAAGAAGUGCCUGAGCAUGGCAGGAGGCAAACACUGCAUCCUUUCAGUGGCUGGAGCUGGCAUGUGCAUGCAGCAUAGAGGUGAAGAAACACACAAUUACAGAUGACAUAGUAAAUGCUUGAUUGCAGAUAAUAAAUAGCAGUUUAAAUACCUAAGUGAUGAGUCAAAUGGAAGGAAGGGGAAGCUGUGACGUAGCUGCUUUGGGGCCAGAUGG